AUUGAACGCUGGCGGCAUGCUUUACACAUGCAAGUCGAACGGUAACAGGCCGCAAGGUGCUGACGAGUGGCGAACGGGUGAGUAAUGCAUCGGAACGUGCCCAGUCGUGGGGGAUAACGCAGCGAAAGCUGUGCUAAUACCGCAUACGAUCUAUGGAUGAAAGCGGGGGACCGUAAGGCCUCGCGCGAUUGGAGCGGCCGAUGUCAGAUUAGGUAGUUGGUGGGGUAAAGGCCCACCAAGCCAACGAUCUGUAGCUGGUCUGAGAGGACGACCAGCCACACUGGGACUGAGACACGGCCCAGACUCCUACGGGAGGCAGCAGUGGGGAAUUUUGGACAAUGGGCGCAAGCCUGAUCCAGCAAUGCCGCGUGCAGGAAGAAGGCCUUCGGGUCGUAAACUGCUUUUGUACGGAACGAAACGGUCUGGGUUAAUACCUCGGGCUAAUGACGGUACCGUAAGAAUAAGCACCGGCUAACUACGUGCCAGCAGCCGCGGUAACAC
rnacentral:rRNA from 1 species